rnacentral:rRNA from 1 species
GUCCACGCUGUAAACGAUGGGCACUAGGUGUUCGGGGUAUUGACCCCCUGAGUGCCGAAGCUAACGCAUUAAGUGCCCCGCCUGGGGAGUACGGCCGCAAGGUUAAAACUCAAAGGAAUUGACGGGGGCCCGCACAAGCGGUGGAGCAUGUGGUUCAAUUCGACGCAACGCGAAGAACCUUACCUGGGCUAGACAACAUCGGACAUCCCUAGAAAUAGGGCCUUCCCGCAAGGGACCGGUGGUUCAGGUGCUGCAUGGCUGUCGU